rnacentral:rRNA from 1 species
GGAUCCAGACUCUGAUUCUGGCUCAGGAUGAACGCUAGCUACAGGCUUAACACAUGCAAGUCGAGGGGAAACGACAUCGAAAGCUUGCUUUUGAUGGGCGUCGACCGGCGCACGGGUGAGUAACGCGUAUCCAACCUGCCCACCACUUGGGGAUAACCUUGCGAAAGUAAGACUAAUACCCAAUGAUAUCUCUAGAAGACAUCUGAAGGAGAUUAAAGAUUUAUCGGUGAUGGAUGGGGAUGCGUCUGAUUAGCUUGUUGGCGGGGUAACGGCCCACCAAGGCGACGAUCAGUAGGGGUUCUGAGAGGAAGGUCCCCCACAUUGGAACUGAGACACGGUCCAAACUCCUACGGGAGGCAGCAGUGAGGAAUAUUGGUCAAUGGGCGAGAGUCUGAACCAGCCAAGUAGCGUGCAGGAUGACGGCCCUAUGGGUUGUAAACUGCUUUUAUAAGGGAAUAAAGUGAGUCUCGUGAGACUUUUUGCAUGUACCUUAUGAAUAAGGACCGGCUAAUUCCGUGCCAGCAGCCGCGGUAAUACGGAAGGUCCGGGCGUUAUCCGGAUUUAUUGGGUUUAAAGGGAGCGUAGGCCGGAGAUUAAGCGUGUUGUGAAAUGUAGACGCUCAACGUCUGCACUGCAGCGCGAACUGGUUUCCUUGAGUACGCACAAAGUGGGCGGAAUUCGUGGUGUAGCGGUGAAAUGCUUAGAUAUCACGAAGAACUCCGAUUGCGAAGGCAGCUCACUGGAGCGCAACUGACGCUGAAGCUCGAAAGUGCGGGUAUCGAACAGGAUUAGAUACCCUGGUAGUCCGCACGGUAAACGAUGGAUGCCCGCUGUUGGUCUGAAUAGGUCAGCGGCCAAGCGAAAGCAUUAAGCAUCCCACCUGGGGAGUACGCCGGC